UACAGAGGUCCCAAGCGUUGUUCGGAUUCACUGGGCGUAAAGGGUGCGUAGGCGGUCGGGUAAGUCUGGCGUGAAAUCUCCAAGCCUAACUUGGAAACUGCGUUGGAUACUAUCCGGCUCGAGGAAUGGAGGGGAGACUGGAAUACUUGGUGUAGCAGUGGAAUGCGUAGAUAUCAAGUGGAACACCAGUGGCGAAGGCGAGUCUCUGGACAUUUCCUGACGCUGAGGCACGAAAGCCAGGGGAGCAAACGGG
rnacentral:rRNA from 1 species